UCUCCUUUUCGCAAUGUUGACGCAAUCUAUAAAUAGUGGAACAAAAGGACCAACUUCCUCGCAGCUUUGCUGAAACUGCACAAAAAAGGCAACCGGGGGGGGGACCCACACGCGGUUAUUUUUUGAUUUUAUUUUUCUCUGGUUAAAAGGCGAAUCCUCCUCCUCCCUUCCUCCCUCUCUCUCCUUCCCCCCCCCCCCCCCCCCACUGGAAGAUCUUUUUUAUUUUCUCUUGCUGCCUCCUGUGCUGGCAACGUCCUGCGAGUGGCUAUUUUGCUUUUGCACCGAGAGAAGAGCUUCCUCCCUCGCCCUCUCUUCUGACACUUAUGGAUGAAAUCUACACUGAUGUCUAACCUGUAAUGAGUGCCAAUGUUUUGACCUUUCAAUAGAGAGCUGAUUUUGGAGAACGGCUUACUCCUGUGAUUGAAAAACUCUCUGGAAGGUUGAUGGAGCAUGAGCAUGAUAGCCCUGUUAAUUUCCAGAAGUUGUCUGUCAUGAUCUGACUAGGAGGCUUAUUGCAAUGGAGUGGCAUGCUUGGGUCCAUGCUGUAUUUUUCUCUUGCAGGAGAAUUUUUCAUUGAGAUGAUUGAAAUUGCUGCAGUGAGAAUGGAAAUUACUUGGGCUCCUUUCCUUUUAAAAGCUGCAUGCGAAAACUGUGUGGUGAGUCAAAUGUAGACUAAUGGUUAUGUAAAUGUCACUAAUUUUAGAUACAGAUCUGAAAGUGUGUUUCCUUUUAAGAUUUUUUCUUCACUAUCAUGACUCAGUAUCACUUGCUAAUCUAAUUUUAUUAGCCCUGUUGUAUUUUACCAUUUAAAAUACACAUACCUUAUUCAAAUAGGUCUUCACACAGUCAAGGUAAUAUAUCAUAUAGAUGCUUUAAAAGGAGGAAAAAAGGCUUAUCUGCACUCAAAAUUUGUUUUGAUUUUAGCCUUCACAGAACUGCUACUGGUGCAGUUGCACAGGUACAAAUAUGAUGUAGAUGAAUAUGAAUCCAGGUUGUUAUAAUUCAUUAGUUUGUAUUAUUUGACCAUAUUUCAGAAUUUCAGACUGGUAAAAAUCACUCAUUUUCUACUACUGCUAUGAAUUUGAACUGACAAAAUUACUAAUAGCUAAAAUUUCAGAUUUAGUUCAGACCUGAGCAGUUCUCAAAAGCACAGCUAUGCAGAAUUAGCGUACAGCUUUUCAUUAAGAACAUUUAUGUGCACAUUUACCUACUACAUUUCUCUCAAUAUAUAUCACCAAAAUGAGGUUGACUACUUAGAAAAAAAUACCGUAUCUGGCUCAAAGUUGGAUAGCUUUCUCUUUGAGUUUCUUUAGGGAGUUUCUUUUCUUUCUUUCAACCUAUGCAAUUGCUAAAUAUUAAAGACCUGCACAUACACUUCAGCCAUUUGAGGACUUAGAAAUGCUUGGAAAGACUUUAAAGGUCUCUGCUUUUUUUCAUCAUGCUGCAGACUGUUGCUUGCAGCAGGCCCAUCCAUCCAGUUGCUCUUGUAGAUCUAGUAUUUUAAUGUACCCAGGAUUUUUCCCAGAGACUUCCAUGAGUAGAUGUGAAUCUAAAGAGCUGAUCAGAGACUUGAGAGCAUACAACAAAUAAGUCUAUUUACAUGGCUUUGUCAAAGUCCAGUGGCCAAACUGUUUGUUGCUGACUACUUCAUUGUGCUCGUGUUGGCCUUUGUGCAAAGAGUGAAACAGACUGUGCUUCCUUCUGGUUCACCAUGCAAACUCCUAUCACUGGCACAAGGGCAGGAAAUAGCAGGGAGCAGGAAGAAGCAGAAGGGCAAAGGUUGGAGCGCCUUGUUCGGUGGCCCUAGCAGCAUAGAAUAGUUCAGUGACAUGGUGAAAACACAGUUUGAGCAUUUGCAGAACCAGAGUUCAACUGAGGAACCAAAGUUCCUGUCUGGAUAAGAAAACUGCUUCAAGUGCUAAUGAAGGCCUACUCAAAUGAUUCAGUUCCUAAACCUUUGAAAAGGAUGUUACAUUUCUCACAUGGUUCUCAGGUGGCUUAAUAUUAGCAGUUAUAUUUUCCAGAUGUUUGCCUGUAUGGGUGGUGCCAGAGACUGGCUGGAUCAAGCUCACUUUGUGUUGCAGCUCUGGGGUCCUAAGGACUGUGCCUGAUGUAAGAAAGAAAGGCUCAUGUUUUCAGUUCAGGUGCUUGUUUUCUGCUAGGCUUAGGAACUGUAUGGGAAAAAGAUGCUUAAUUCACAUAAAAAGGCAAGAAAAGAUAGGCCUGCUUGAAAAUAAACAAGACUAAUAUAUGAGUGAAGACAAGUAAUUUUAGGAGCAUGUCUAAAAGUGCAAUGUUAAAAGGUUGGAGGUGAGAACAGAUACAGGAAGAUCUGAUGAACUGGAAAAUCAGAAGGAUUGAAAUAUGUUAGGCAAAGAUCUGGGGGAUUGUUCGUUUAUUGAAAUUGGAGAAAGCAGCAGCCUGACAGAGGGGAUCUGGCUUGAGGCAAAGAGAACAAGUCAUAUUGGAAAUCACUGUCAAUUUCACCUCCCUCAUUGUAUUCCACAGAGAAGAGGGCCAGCAUAUUAGUACCCUCAGCUACUUCAUGGAUUUUGGUCCUGAAAAGAAAUCUCAAAGUAAGAAUAGUUGAGGUUGUAAAGGAGAUCUCUAGUUCAAACAUGGUAGUUUUCUUUAAGGCUAUGUCCAGUCAAUUUUGAAUCUAUUCAAGGACGAAGACUCUGCAGCCUAUCCAGUUCAGCUAGAAUUUCAUGCACUUCAUUUCUUACCUGUAGCCUCUUGUCCUGUUUCUGGACAGAGAAGAGCCUGGCUAUGUCUUCUUUACUUUGCCAUACCCUCACCAGCAGGCAUUUAGAAACAUUGCUGAGAUCAUAAAAACACAAGCCCUUUCUUCUCCAGGCUGGAGUCUCAGCUCACUCAGCCUUUCUUCGUGUGAAAGAUUCUUCAGUUCUCUCAUCGUCUUUGUGGAAGUAAAUAAAAUGCUUCAUCUAAUAAGGGGAAUUAGAAUUCAAAGGAGGAAAUGGUUUUUUGAGGGGGGGGAAAACAAAGCACAAGCUAAUAACUGUAAAAAGAACAAGAAGAUCACAAAAAUGAAACAUUAAGAAGUUAGAUAACUCCUGCUUGAAGAUUCUGCAAUCUUCAUUUGCCCCCUUGUGUCAGUAUACUAUGAAGCAAUCUUUGUGAUCACAUAGAAUGUUUAAUCUAUUGAUAGGGUCAGUCUGUGGUGCUGGGCUGGGGAGGGUGCUUAUGGGCUGCUAGCAAGAAGCCUGAUGUUGCUGUAGGUGCUGCAGAAAUUAGUAAAAAAUUCUCUAGGCAAUGGAUCAAAUGGCUGCAGGUAGAGAAAACCAUGUCUUAGUGGUUAUGUCUAGUGAGAAUUGCUAAGAAUUGGAUGUGAUGUUUAUUUUUCUGCCUUUAUUCUCGUGUGAGGCUGGACAAAUAACCAGGCCAUUGUUUCUGAGUGCAUAUAUUGUGCUUUACUUUAGAGGUGUUUGAUUUAAGACACAUCUGAAAGAAACACUGGUGGUUCACAUUGGUAGCUGAGCUUUUUAGGAGCUGUCAUUUGAAUUAAAAUACUCUGUGAAGUUAUGUCUGCUGACAGUCUCCUGUCUUCCUAAAGAGAACUUCAAACUGUUGCAUACUAUAAUAGUUUCCACACCUCUGUGUCACAUUUAAAGCAGGAGUAAUGGACACAUACCUUGAACGGCUGGUAGCUACUUUUGUUUAGUAGCUGUACUACAGUAAUGCAUUGCCUUAUGGAAUUUUCUAUGGCAUUUAUUAAUUCUGAUUUCAGAGGAAGAGGUGAGUACUAUGCAUCUUUUAAAGAUCAGAUCUGCAAUCAAUUUUCCUUUUACCAGUUCAGGCUGGGAAGUAGAGUUUCUAUGCUGUUCCUUCAUGGUCUAUUUCUGCAGUCCUGCAAACUCCAAAAUACUCUGAUUUGUGUCCCGUCUUGUCACUGAUUCAUUUUGCAAAUAUAACUCAUUAUUAAACACCCGUGUGUGCCAUUUUUUUCUUGUCAUUUUUGUAACAUGGUCAACAUUGUGCAAAAUCUUCUAAAUAGUAAAGGUAAUGUACAUGUUUGAACUUCAGCAUAUUUGACAAUAAAUUUACCUGUCAAGAUCUAUUUUACAGAAAGAAUGAGCUUUUUAAAUUGUAACAGUUUCUUAAUGUACAGCAGUAAGCACUGCAUCUCUAAAAAUAUGAAGUUAUACCUAAGUAUUUAGGACUUCUACCACCAUUUUAUUCAAAUUUCAAAGGCAGUUUUCUUGGUACAGCCCAUAGCACACUUUGGUAAAUGAGAGUGGUCUGUACUAGAAAUUUGGAUCCAGUGAUCUGAAAAUGUUUCAGCUUUGCCAUUAGUCAUGGUAUCUUGAGUAUUGGGGAAAAUCUUUUCUAAUCAGGUAGCCACAUUAGCAGUAAUGGUUGAUUUUGAAGUGUUUCGGCUCCCUUUAUCUGUAUUGCAACCAAUUGUCACAGGAGUCAAAGAAAUUAUAGAAAUGUGCCCAGAGUGGUCAGCUGCUAUUGUACCAGUUUAACAGCAGCAGCAGUUCUUCAUAUUAGAACCAAACAAAACAUUUAAAAUUUAUUUGAAUGAAAACUUAUGUCUGAGGUAAAUGUGAAUCUCCCUUGUAAGGUGGAAGUUGUAAGUGUAUCAAAAUAAAAUAUUUAACUAUAAAGAGAAAUAAGAAAAAAUGAUGAAAAAAUGCCAUGGCAUGAGUGACAUUGCUCAUCUUUCUGUGAGGAGGAUAAUAAUCAUCAGAGUGCUUAUUUUUCACUCCAAAUAGUUUAUUUCUAUUACAGGCUAUUUAAUGGUCAUCAGGUGCAACUCUUUUUUUUCCCCAUGUUUUAUUCACUUGUAAUUAAUAGCUCUAUAUUUGUUAAUAAAUGAAAUUAAAUUUCUUAUAUUGCUUCUGCCUCUCAAUGUAAAAUCUGAACUUUUCUGUUCAAAAGUUCUGAAAUUACAUAUUAAUUAUAGCAGCAUUUAUCUAGUUUGUAUCUUCAGUCUGAAGUAUGCAGUGCAUAGUAGGUGAAGGCUUAGUUUCUCUUGAGAGAUAGGAAUAAUAUAUCCAUAGUGUGUUCUUCUGCUGUUUAUAGCCAUAGGAGUCAGACAUGGAUAGAAAGCUUCUCAUUUCCCUAUGUUUCUGCAGGGCAAGUAUGUGGCUUUAUUGCCUAUAAAAGAACCUUCUGUUAGCAGGUUUUAUGCUUUUAAGUGGUUUUAAAAGUAAAACAUUUUGGAAUCUCUCAAGAAAUACUCAAAAAAGCCUUAAGUAUUAUAAAAUUUGAAGUAUAUAAGGCAUAAAUUAUAACAUAGAAAGUCUCAAAUGUAUAAAUUUUUAAUGUUUUAUUGAAAUAAAGGCAAAGGAAGAGCUUCGGCGGUUUAUAUUAUUUGACCAGCUAGAAUGGUCAACAAUAAUAUAAGACUAUGGUUCUACAGCCUUGUGAUUCUUGAGCCAGACAAGUUUGGGAAUGAGUUUUCUUGUUUCCUUCACUAUUAUCCUGGCUCUCAUAUGUCUUUGGUGGUUUCACUGAAUGACUUUAGGUUAGUUUUUGGCAAGCUCAGCCAGCUGAAUGUGCUUGCUCUAAGCAACAGUGCCAGCACCGAGGAAAAUACCCUUCACUCCUGAGACUGGCACUCCAGUUUUAAAGUCCAUUUACAUUGCUUAAAUCACUGUAAGGAAUAUUCAGGGCCUAAUUCGUCCUUUCUUGAUGCUACUACAGACUUUGCCUAUCUGCACUUUAAAUCAAUAUCAAAGGGUCUGAAGACAUUUUGGUCUAUCUCUUUUCUUGUACAGAAGAUUAGUAUCAACACAUGAAACCAGCACAAAAAUGCUCCUUCAGAUAUAGCUUCUUAGCAUCUGGAAGCAGUUGUGAAAUGCUUUUCCUAUUAUCAAAACAAUGCGAGAGUCUUCCCCUUUUCCAACAAGCAAUAUCUUGUUGUAGACACAUCAAUAAAUACAUUAAAGCUAUAUUAUCCAUCUAUAAUGGAACUUCCAGGUCAAAAAAAUGAAAUUUCCAGUAAUAUGAGACAAAGAUACACAAGAACUUGAAUGUUUUGGAGGUAUGAAAUGUCUUAAAUGAGUUGUUCUUCAACCAAUUUUAGGAAAUGUGCAUGAAUGAUAGGUUGUACAGUCAGGAAAAGGAUUUCAUUGCAGAUUUGAUAACAUCGUGGAGCCAGACAGCCCCCUGUUGGUUGUAUUGCUGUGGAGGUUCUAGAAAGGAAUUGUGCUUGAAUUCAGCUGUUCAUUGCACUCAGCAAACAAUUUUUUUUCAAUCCCAUAUCAUAAAUAGAGAAAGUGGAGGGAGAAGAAAAAUGUGUGUGCUUGUAGAAACUGCCUUUGAAUCAAGUUUUAUCUCUUAUAAAUAAGAAAUGUUAAAGCUCAGUUAAAUAGAGUGCCUGCACACAGUUUCUUAAUGCCUUUAUAGAAAUUUAUUUCUAAAUUGCUGUAGAAAAAAUGUAGAACAGUACUUUGUCCUUGUGAUAAGACUAGCAUGCUUUAAUAUCACACUCACAGCCUGACUAAGGCAAAGUAUUUAGAUCCAGUUCUGUCAAGAAUGCAGGGGUUUAAAACACAGAAGUUUGUAAGCUGGCAGUGAACUAACCAGGUACAGCCUUAUUUAAUGACUGAGACUCUCUUGCAGGCACAUUUAUGAGAGCUUCUAUUUAACAAGGUACAAUUUUACCAAGAGUCUUGUGUGUUUUUUAAUCACAUUUGCUUUGCUUUAAGAUUUUUUUUGUAUAUAUUUUAAGUUGCUACCAAUGCAACUAGCUGCAUACUUCCAGUUUGUGUUUUCUCAUAUUUUGAGAAACUGAAGAAAUUUUUACUCAAAAUGAAAUUAAUGUUUCAUGCUGACAAUUGCAGGACACUUACUAGGCAUUUUUGGCAUUUGGGCUUUUUUUUCCCCCAAAGAGUUUGUAAAGAGAACCUAAAAUCUUCCUUGUAAUGAUCACUGUAUAUCCAUGUAAUGAUGAAAUGCUGUAGGUAAUGUAAGGAAUAUAGUACUGGGCGACAAAGUUCUAGAAAGAACUAUGUCACAGUGGCACAGGAUUUUCUGCUCUAAGAUAAACAAUACAGAAGUUCUCUCUGCAUCAGGUAUGGCCAAGGUUACAACAGCUCAUCUUCAUUUAAGGAAUUGGAUUUCUGCCUGAAAAUCCAUAGCUGCAAUAGUGCUACAGAAACUGAUGUGACAAUUAGUUUUCUACUACAGCACAGAAGACUAGCAUGAUGCCAAGAAAGCCAGAGUGCUGGAGGACUUUUUCUCACUCUUAGAACACAUUAAAAAAAAACCAGCGAUCAGAUGUCUUGGAACAGCUGGCAGAAACAAGAGGGUAAGGCUACAUGCUGUGAUUGAAAAGGGGGGAAUGGGAAAGAUGGGGAUAGAACAAAGAAUUGGUUUAAAAUUGUCGUGACUUGUUAAAAUCCCUCAGAAGACUUUUAAGAAACUAGCUGAAACAAUUUCAAGGCAAGGGGACUCUUCCACAAAACAAAAACCUGGGUUUCAGAAGCCUGAGGAGAUUCAAGUUCACAUCUCCUGCUUCUGAAAAAAUACCCAGUGGAGGUUGCCCACAGAUGUUCCCCAUCUUUCCUGUUAAAUCAAGGUUAUGUGCAAAAAAGUCACAAAACUAUUUUGUUCAAAGGUUGUUGGCAAUGGUAACUAUUGCUGUUAGCAGAUGAAAGCAAGCUGCAGGUAGGAUUUCAAAGAGUAGUGGAAUUUGCUUUUAUUGGACUAACUGCAGUUCCUUGCAUGUUCCAUAUUCUUUUCCUAAGAUGUUUCCUGAAGUAAUGAUUAAGUCAGCAUACAAUAAAUGUAAGUACCCAUUAAAGCACACUAAAGGAAUACCUUAUGUUUCCAGUAGAUGAACACUGAGAUAAUGAAGUAUUUGUGAAUUGCAUCACAGUCUUCUAUUAUGCCAAAUUCUGGAUUUCAUUGCUGAAGAGAGCAGCAGUAAAGGUGGCUUUAAACUGCUUUAUUCUCCUUAAUUCUCUAAAUCUGCUGAAGAUGGAAAGCAGGGAGCAGCAUUAAAGAACUUCAUGGCUGUUCAGCAACCAGCAAGGGGACUCACCUCUUCCCUCCUGCAAUCUACCCUCAAACUGCUUUCUUUCUGUGUUUGAAGCAGCUUUUUGAGUCUUUGGGUUUCAGAGGUUUUUUGUUUUAAUUUGAGUUUUCUUUACAUGAGAGUUUACAUUCCCCCCCAAUAAAUUAGCAGCAUAGAUAAGAGCCUGUUCUUGGUUGAAGAAGAUUCAAAUAACUUAUCCUGUUCAGAAAAAUUAAAAUAUUCUUCCUAUUCUGAGGAGUAGUUACUCCAUUCCCAAAUUGAACUUCCAUUCCCAGGAUUGAACUUCAGGACUUCCUCAUGGCUCUUGGAGUAUCUUUAAUUUUUAGUUUGUUUAAGUAAUUCUAGUCUCUUAAAACAUACAGAUAACUUACAGAGCUGUUACAUUGUGAUCCCAUUAUUUUAUACUUAUUCAGGCAUAAAGUAAGUAGCCUGAGAAAAGCACUACCUUUUGCUAUGAAUGUAUCUCGGUUUCCUCUGAAAUUACAGUUUUUUUCUCUUUAGCUGUGAUAAAUUGUCCAGAGCAGUGGAUGUUUUCAGUCGUAAUUGACAGAAUCCUAAUUUUAUCUCUAGGUUUUUUUCAUGUGUACUGCAGGAUUCUUUUAAAAACAGCACCUGGUCCUGGUGAUUUUAUUAUUUGAGUUUCUCAGGCUUUCAAUAAGCUCUUCUUUUGAGACAUCUAGGCCUGGGGAAACUACUGUGAAUCCCUAUAAGGCACAUCCUUGAGAUAGGAAUUUCUCUGUCACCAUUUAUGUUAAAACCAAAUAAUUUAUAUUCAGCUUCUUUACCUGUGACACCUUCUUUCAUCUGCCUCUGGAUAUUACAUAGACAAAACUAAAAAAUAUCCUCCUGAAUUCUAACACCUUUAAGAAUACUUCAAUUCUUCUCUAUGAGUGUGUGUUGUGCAUUGAUAUGUGGCGCUGCAUGCAGCCAUCGGUACCCAUGAGUACCAGUAGAGCAGAACAUUUUUCAGCAGCACCUGUGAAAGCAAUAACUGCCUUUCUGUGUGCAAGAGUAGUGUUAAACCAUUCCCUCAUUCUUCAGACUGCCAGUGGCUACAGAGAGGUUUUCAUUAGCCAAUGAUAGUGGCAAUUUUUUUUUCACUAAUCUUCAUUAGUUUUUUUCUUACUUGACUUUCUUACUUGUUUAUGUUAACACUUCAAUAACUGUUAAGAUGUGGUUUAGUUAAGAAAUCCUAGCAUCUCUGGUUUGUCGGGUUUGGGUUUUUUUCGUUUUGGUUGGAGAAAUUGCUUUAGCCUAAGAAGAAUUCCAUGUCUGCACAUACCCCAUGAAUGAGCAUAACCUCCCUAGCAUUCAGACAUUUGCUGUGCAAUGUUGUGGUAUCAUUAAAGACUGUCUACAGAAGAUACACUUUACUUGACUUGAUGAGCAUCACAUGUAUCUUCUAAGAAGGCUGAGCAAGUGAAACAUCUUGCCUCAAGAUGUCACAAGUGAUACAGGCACCUGGCCUCUGUUUCUAGUUUGCCUGAGCAGAAACACUUGAGAAAGACCAGAGCUCUUUUGCUUUUCUAACUUCUUGUCCUAGGCUGUCAGCAAGUCUUCUAACAUGGUUAAAUGUUGAUUAGAUGGAGACAAGGAACAGAACAUUUGCAAAACAGAUCCCGAUUUUGUCUUACAUAAAUUUUUCUGAAGCACAUUUCAGACCUGGGAACACCAGGUAGUCCAGUGAUACAGAGCUGGAAUUUUCAUGGUACAGUGGUCUACAGUACUUGGAUUCCUUGGCAGCCAUAAUUCUAGAGAAAUUAUCAGUGACAAUGUGGCACCAAAAUUAUAGCAAGGUUGAAUCACUUUUGAAUCCUUGAGCUUCAUCAGAGAAAUCAAGCUCCUCACUGUCAAAUCAGGCUCAGAAUCUCCCCUCAUAAACUUCAAUGGGUGUCUGGCCUUCAGUAUUGAUUCAAACAUUCUCUACUCUGCUCAUAGUCAGAGGUCAUUUUUUAUAAGCUUCCACCAUCCUGUAGGACUAGUUCCAUAUAAAAUACUCCUGUGCUUAGUCAGAACCUGAAGACUGUUCUGUACAGUUCUGUUUGGCUGGACAUCUUACACCAGUAGAAGUUGGUGUGGUUCACACUAGGGCAGCUUAUAGAGAUGGGAACUUCCUGUAUUUUUCAGCAUCUCACAGAUUCAGAAGUGUUAAGGUUGGAAAAGACCUCCAGGAUCUCUAGUCCAACCAUUAACCCAGCACCACCAUGCUCACCACUAAACCAUAUCCCCAAGUGCCACACCCACGUGCCUUUUGAGCUUUCCGAGGGAUGGUGAUUUCACCACCUCCCUGGGCAACCUGUUCCAAUGCCUAACUGCCCUUCCAGCGAAGUAAGUUUUCCUACUAUCCAAUCUAAACCUACACUAGCACAACUUGAGGCCAUUUCCUCUCAUCUUGUCACUUGUUAUCUGGGAAAAACAGUGACACCCUAGGUGACUGACUGAUGCCUUGCUACAACAUCCAUUUAGGUAAUUGCAGAGAACUUGUUUGUUCUUCCUGGUAACAAGUGACAGGAUGAGAGGAAAUGGCCUCAAACUGUAUCAGGGGAGGUUUAGGUUGGACAUUAGGAGGAAUUUCUUCUCAGAAAGGGUGAUUAGAUACUGGAAUGGGCUGUCCAGGGCAUGGUGGAGUCACCAUCCCUGGAAGUGUUUAAGAAAAGAUUGGAUGUGGCACUCGGUGCCAUGGUCCAUUUGACAAGGUGGUGUUCAGUUGGUCGUAGGUUGGAUUUAAUCUCAGAGGUCUUUCCCAAGUUAAUUGAUUCUAUGAAAGCUGCCUCCAAUAACAGCAAAUAUUGAUACCUAGAGCAAAAAGGUGCUGAAGUUUUAUCUCUGCUGCAGAAAUAAUUACCUUUGGAAAAUGAAGGUCUCUAGAGUAUUAUUAGUUAAUAUUGCAAAUGCUAAUUUGAAAUGUUAAGCAUUGCCACAGACAUCUAGAAAGGAAUUUAGAUACGGUAUAGUAGUGACAUUUCCAAAGACAGAUAUCUUGAUGAAAAGUAUUUAUGGGUUUUCUGAAACACAGUGACCUAUUCAGUGCUUUGCAUACUCUUUGUAUGACAGGGUUGUACACACUCUUCUUAGAUCCCCAAGACAAGUAAACACCAGUUGCCAACUACAGGAAUCACAAGAACAUAGUCUUUCCAGCCCUGCAGGCCUACCUGCCCUCCAGCAAAGCAGCACAAGACUUAAAGAGGGGAAAAAAAAAAAAGGCAACUUUCUUGUGUGUUGCAGUUCACCUGCUUUUUUCAUCCACAUGGCAGUGUCUGAUUAAAAAUAUUCCAAAUGUUUUGGUGCAAAGUUGUACCUCUUCCUUUCAAGCACUGAAAUGGUUUUAUGUGUUAAAAGCUACCAACUGUCACAGAGGUUUGUGUAUUCUGUUUUAGUCCCUCAUUGACUCCUUUUGGUCACAAGGUGUUUUAUGAGAGCAUGUUAGAUCAUUGGUAGCACUGCUUCUUUUCCUAUGGAAAUGAGAUUCCCUUUUUAUCUCUUAAAAAGGGAUGGGGAAAGGUGGCAGUGAGCCAAUUCCAAUUCCAGUACAGUAUUCACUUAGGCUGUCCCAGAUCUCAAGAAAUGUAAAUACCCACAGCUGAAAGAUCGGAUACAGAGCAAUGUUUUCAGCCAGCAGUUUACCACUACCAAGUUAGAAAGCCCUGAAAGCUCUGAGCUUUUGAAACAGUUAUUUCCACUCUGUUACCCACCCUGCCUGAAGGAACUGUGUCAUCUUUCUAGCAGGCGUCAUUGCCUCCAGUAUAGACCUGUGUGCUUGUUGCUGCCUGUUUCAGAAGAACAAAAACCCACGUAUGCAUGCAUGUCCUGAACACACCAUAAGUGAUGUAAAAACUGUCAUUACAUCCUUCACUCGUGGCUUUUCUUGGUCCUGAGGGUAGACAAGAAGUCAGCAUGGAUCCCUGCACAGAACAGAGAUGAACCACUCCAUAGCAGUCUGAUGUUCCAUUAGCCUUCUGCGACUUCACAUAACAUUCAUUUUUCCUAUUCAAUCUCAGAGCCUACCUCAGAAGUUCAUUGAGAGCAUGGAUCAUGAGUCAGAGGGUGGUGAGGCACUGACACAGGUUACCCAGAGAAGCUGUGGAAGCCCCAUCCCUGGAAUUGCUCAAGAGCAGGUUGAAUGGGGCUUGAAGCAACCUGGUGUAGUGGAAGGUGUCCCUGCCCAUGGCAGAGGGGUUGGAACCAGAUAUUGUCUUUAAGGUUCCUUCCAACACAAACUACUCUGUGAUUCCAGGAGUCAGACUUUCAAUAGCUUAGCACAAAACGCUGUUAUAGCACAGCCUAUGAGGGCAAACUAUAGCCAAAAGAGGAGUUACUCAGGUGUACAUGUGCCUGCCUGGGUAUUUUCCAGCAGGGAGCCUCCAAAAAAAGAAUCUUGCAAAAAGAUGAUUGUUUGUCCAUCAUUUUUCCAACAUGUAUUCAUAGAGAUUUUGGGACUGUAUAUGGACAGUGAAGUCUCGAUUGCACUAGCACACUUCAAUUGUCAAAUCUUAUAAAAUAGGAGCAGAAAGCAGUUUUAGCCUAACCAACAAUGGAAGAAACUUCUGUUACAUCAGGGACUAUGCAGAUACAAUGUUUCCCCUAUGUUCUUGACAUGCCCAUAUUUAAGCUAUUAUUGUGUUCUGGAGAUCCAUGGUUUACUGAGCCAUCUUCAGAAGAUAAUGUUUUGAACAACUAUAGGUAGCAAAUGAAUAUCAUAUGGUUUAAGGAUAGAAUUGCAAAUGGAGGAAAAAAAAGGUAAACCAGUCUGUUCCAGGAAAUAUCUUUCCAGUUUAUGGAAAACUGGGAACUUACUGUCAGGGUUAGUGCUCACCAUAGCGCAACUGGCAUUGAAACAAAGGCCACCAACAGGACAUAUCCAGGAAGUAUUCAGUAGGCUUAUCACCCCAGCACUACCAAAACAGUGAUGUUACUCUGAUCUUCAAAAUUUAUCUAUUUGAUCUCCAAAAGCUUAGCUUCUGUUUCCAGGUGAGAGGUAUCAACAUGACUAAUCUAUCUGAUGUCUGGAUCCUGCAGUGUUUCACUUCACAGCACAUGCAGAAAUUACCUCCUAAAGAGAAAUUUUCUUCUUCACAUAUGUGAAUUAUUACUGGAAGAUAUUCUAUAGAUGCAUUAACCUAACACAUUGGAAUAAAAUAAAACAUCCCUAUAGUUUCAUGAACA